rfam:Emiliania huxleyi CCMP1516 EMIHTscaffold_1054_Cont9408, whole genome shotgun sequence.
UUUGUACACACCGCCCGUCGCUCCUACCGAUUGAAUGAUCCGGUGAGGCCCCCGGACUGCGGCGCCGCAGCUGGCUCUCCAGCCGCGACGCCGCGGGAAGCUGUCCGAACCUUAUCAUUUAGAGGAAGGAGAAGUCGUAACAAGGUUUCCGUAGGUGAACCUGCGGAAGGAUCAUUA